rnacentral:rRNA from 1 species
AUGCUUGAAGGCGGCCCGGGGCACGCGGCCAGCCUGGCUCCGCCCCUGGCCGAGAGCAUCAAGAAGGCCCUGUCGCGGGCGCUGGUGCCCUACUACCCGAUGGCCGGCCGGCUCGUCGCCGGAGCCGAUGAAGACGCGUACCUCAGCAUCGCGUGCACCGGCGAGGGCGUGCCUUUCGUGGCCGCGUCGGCUAGCUGUGCCCUGGAGGAAGCCAUGACGUCGCCGUCGUUCCUCAAGGAGCUCACCGUCCGUUACCCUGGCGAGCUCUAUUGCCUCAGCGACGCCUUGCUGCUGAUGCAGGUGACGGAGUUCUCCUGCGGCGGGUUCGUCGUCGGGGUGACGUGGAACCACGUCAUGGCGGACGGCGCCAGGAUCGCGCAGUUCCUGCAAGCCCUCGGCGAGCUCGCCCGCGGGAUGGGGGCGCCGUCCGUUGUCCCCGUCAGGUCGGGCGCCACGAUCCCGCCCAUGCCGACGCCCGUGGUCGCCGCGCUGAGGUCCCAGAUGCAGGUCCUAACUGAGGAGCUCGCGACCCUGGACGUCACGAUCCCCUCCAGCCUGAUCAGCCGCGUCAAGGCCGAGUGCGGCGGCGACUGCACGACGUUCGAGGUCGUGGCCGCGGCGCUCUGGCGGAGCCGCACCCGCGCGAUCUUCUCCGGCUCCGACCCCGACGCCCCCGCGAUGCUCUUCUUCCCCAAAAACAUGCGCGAGAAGGUCGGCGCCGAGUGUGGCUACUACGGCAACUGCUUCGGCAGCCAGCUGGUCCUGGCGACGAGCAGCGCGGUGGCGAGCGCCGAGAUCAGGGACCUGGUGAAGCUUGUGAAGGGCCACGCGGACAUACUGGACCUGUUGAUGGACGCCGGUGCCGCCACGGUGGUGGAUCUGGGCAGGCUCAUGUCGUCCCCGAGGUACCAUGCGAUCGCCGUCUCCAGCUGGCAGAAGCUUGGGCUGGAGGCGACGGACUUCGGGCGCGGGAAGCCGGCGAGGGUGAUGUGGCAGCCGGAGACACUACCAGAAAAACUGGGGUUGCCGACGGCCAAAUCUAUGCCAAUGGCCACCGUCGGCAUCGCCGGACCUAUGCCGACGGCCAAGGAUAGGCCGUAG